GUCCGCCGGGACCUUUCUGGGAGUCGUGGGCUUAAUGGCACUAUGCCCUCUGUUGGCCUGGCUGUGCCCUGGUGGCUCUGAUUACUUGUUUCUGUUUUUUUUUUUUUUUUUUUUUGAGACGGAGUUUCGCUCUUGUCGCCCACGCUGGAGUGCUAUGGCGCAUUCUUGGUUCACUGCAACCUCUGCCUUCCGGGUUCAAGCGAUACUCCUGCCUCAGCCUCCCGAGUAGCUGGGAUUACAGGCGCCCGCCACCAAACCUGGCUAAUUUUUAUAUUUUUAGUAGAGUUGGGAUUUCACCAUGUUGGCCAGGCUGGUCUCAAACUCCUGGCCUCAGGUGAUCCACCCACCUCGGCCUCCCAAAGUGCUGGGAUUACAGGUGUGUUUUUUGUGUUUUUAAGAGAUGGAGUCUCGCUAUGUUGCCCAGGCUGGCCUUGAACUCCUGGGCUCAGGCGAUCCUUCUGCCUCAGCCUUCCCAGUAGCUGGGUCACUGUGAUGAUUUGAAUUGAAUUCUGUGGUGUGUAAGAAGACCAGCCUGCAAGGCAAGCACAGAUGGGGCAGCUUUUGUUCUGAGAAAUUCUUGCCCUUACUGAACUUGGGUCUGGCUAUUUUUGGAACAUGGCCAGCAUCCAGUUCUAACCCACGACACGGUCUUUUUGGAGUAGCAUGAACUCAGGAGAAAUCUGGCUGCAUAGUCAAGCCCUCACCCCUUCCAUCCUGUACACAAACUGUUUCAAGUAACAGAUGUUCCAGGCAGAGCCGGCCAGACAGGAACCCAGCCAUGGUGAACGAAGCCAGAGGAAACAGCAGCCUCAACCCCUGCUUGGAGGGCAGUGCCAGCAGUGGCAGUGAGAGCUCCAAAGACAGUUCGAGAUGUUCCACCCCGGGCCUGGACCCCGAGCGGCAUGAGAGACUCCGAGAGAAGAUGAGGCGGCGAUUGGAAUCUGGUGACAAGUGGUUCUCCCUGGAAUUCUUCCCUCCUCGAACUGCUGAGGGAGCUGUCAAUCUCAUCUCAAGAAACAAACCCCCUACAGGUUUGACCGGAUGGCAGCAGGCGGCCCCCUCUACAUAGAUGUGACCUGGCACCCAGCAGGUGACCCUGGCUCAGACAAGGAG
rnacentral:sRNA from 1 species